rnacentral:rRNA from 1 species
CCUACGGGUGGCAGCAGUGGGGAAUAUUGGACAAUGGGCGAAAGCCUGAUCCAGCCAUGCCGCGUGUGUGAAGAAGGCCUUCGGGUUGUAAAGCACUUUCAGUGGGGAAGAAAGCCUUGGGGCUAAUACCCUCGAGGAAGGACAUCACCCACAGAAGAAGCACCGGCUAACUCCGUGCCAGCAGCCGCGGUAAUACGGAGGGUGCGAGCGUUAAUCGGAAUUACUGGGCGUAAAGCGCGCGUAGGCGGUCUGAUAAGCCGGUUGUGAAAGCCCCGGGCUCAACCUGGGAACGGCAUCCGGAACUGUCAGGCUAGAGUGCAGGAGAGGAAGGUAGAAUUCCCUGUGUAGCGGUGAAAUGCGUAGAGAUCGGGAGGAAUACCAGUGGCGAAGGCGGCCUUCUGGACUGACACUGACGCUGAGGUGCGAAAGCGUGGGUAGCAAACAGGAUUAGAUACCCUAGUAGUC